rnacentral:rRNA from 1 species
AGCGAACGCUGGCGGCAGGCCUAACACAUGCGAGUCGAACGAACCUUUCGGGGUUAGUGGCGGACGGGUGAGUAACACGUGGGAACGUGCCUUUAGGUUCGGAAUAACUCAGGGAAACUUGUGCUAAUACCGAAUGUGCCCUUCGGGGGAAAGAUUUAUCGCCUUUAGAGCGGCCCGCGUCUGAUUAGCUAGUUGGUUGAGGUAAUGGCUCACCAAGGCGACGAUCAGUAGCUGGUCUGAGAGGAUGAUCAGCCACAUUGGGACUGAGACACGGCCCAAACCCCUAGGGGGGGCGGCGGGGGGGAGUCUUGCGAAGGGGGCGAAAGCCGGACGCAGCCAGGCCGGGUGAAGGAAGAGGGUCUUGGGAUUGAAAAUUUUUUCCCCGGGGGAGGAAAAGGACGGUCCCGGAAAAAGAGCCCCCGGCAACCUUGGUC